AUUAGCUUGCUUUUGAAGAUCAGCGGCGGACGGGUGAGUAACACGUGGGCAACCUGCCUGUAAGACUGGGAUAACUUCGGGAAACCGGAGCUAAUACCGGAUAAUCCUUUCCCUCACAUGAGGGAAAGCUGAAAGACGGUUUCGGCUGUCACUUACAGAUGGGCCCGCGGCGCAUUAGCUAGUUGGUGAGGUAACGGCUCACCAAGGCAACGAUGCGUAGCCGACCUGAGAGGGUGAUCGGCCACACUGGGACUGAGACACGGCCCAGACUCCUACGGGAGGCAGCAGUAGGGAAUUCUUCCGCCAAUGGACGAAAGUCUGACGGAGCAACGCCCGCGUGAACGAUGAAGGCUUUCGGGUCGUAAAGUUCUGUUGUCAGGGAAGAACAAGUAUCGGAGUAACUGCCGGUACCUUGACGGUACCUGACCAGAAAGCCACGGCUAACUACGUGCCAGCAGCCGCGGUAAUACGUAGGUGGCAAGCGUUGUCCGGAAUUAUUGGGCGUAAAGCGCGCGCAGGCGGUUCCUUAAGUCUGAUGUGAAAGCCCCCGGCUCAACCGGGGAGGGUCAUUGGAAACUGGGGAACUUGAGUGCAGAAGAGGAGAGCGGAAUUCCACGUGUAGCGGUGAAAUGCGUAGAGAUGUGGAGGAACACCAGUGGCGAAGGCGGCUCUCUGGUCUGUAACUGACGCUGAGGCGCGAAAGCGUGGGGAGCGAACAGGAUUAGAUACCCUGGUAGUCCACGCCGUAAACGAUGAGUGCUAAGUGUUAGAGGGUUUCCGCCCUUUAGUGCUGCAGCAAACGCAUUAAGCACUCCGCCUGGGGGAGUACGGCCGCAAGGCUGAAACUCAAAGGAAUUGACGGGGGCCCGCACAAGCGGUGGAGCAUGUGGUUUAAAUUCGAAGCAACGCGAAGAACCUUACCAUGUCUUGACAUCCUCUGACAACCCUAGAGAUAGGGCGUUCCCCUUUCGGGGGACAGAGUGACAGGUGGUGCAUGGUUGUCGUCAGCUCGUGUCGUGAGAUGUUGGGUUAAGUCCCGCAACGAGCGCAACCCUUUGAUCUUAGUUGCCAGCAUUCAGUUGGGCACUCUAAGGUGACUGCCGGUGACAAACCGGAGGAAGGUGGGGAUGACGUCAAAUCAUCAUGCCCCUUAUGACCUGGGCUACACACGUGCUACAAUGGAUGGAACAAAGGGUCGCGAAGCCGCGAGGUCGAGCCAAUCCCAUAAAUCCAUUCUCAGUUCGGAUUGCAGGCUGCAACUCGCCUGCAUGAAGCCGGAAUCGCUAGUAAUCGCGGAUCAGCAUGCCGCGGUGAAUACGUUCCCGGGCCUUGUACACACCGCCCGUCACACCACGAGAGUUUGUAACACCCGAAGUCGG
rnacentral:rRNA from 2 species